rnacentral:rRNA from 1 species
UCGGGAAUUUUGGGCAAUGGGCGAAAGCCUGACCCAGCAACGCCGCGUGAAGGAUGAAGUAUUUCGGUAUGUAAACUUCGUAAGAAUAGGAAGAAUAAAUGACGGUACUAUUUGUAAGGUCCGGCUAACUACGUGCCAGCAGCCGCGGUAAUACGUAGGGACCAAGCGUUGUUCGGAUUUACUGGGCGUAAAGGGCGCGUAGGCGGCGUGGUAAGUCAUCUGUGAAAUCUCCGAGCUUAACUCGGAACGGUCAGAUGAUACUGCUGUGCUAGAGUGCAGAAGGGGCAAUCGGAAUUCUUGGUGUAGCGGUGAAAUGCGUAGAUAUCAAGAGGAACACCUGAGGUGAAGACGGGUUGCUGGGCUGACACUGACGCUGAGGCGCGAAAGCCAGGGGAGCAAACGGGAUUAGAUACCCGAGUAGUCCCUGAGCGGGCUGGCAAGGCGCAU